rnacentral:tRNA from 1 species
CAGGAAAUAGUUUAGUUUAGAAUC